UUAAGUCCAAUUUGUAAGGAGUUGGAACGUUCGCCUAUGUUUGCCGCUAGGGGCACUGUUUCAACUCCAUACAAAUUUGAGUUA
rfam:Bombyx mori DNA, contig: Bm_scaf36_contig21473, strain: p50T/Dazao, build 2, whole genome shotgun sequence.